GCCGCACGGCUUUCGCCGCCGUGGCCGCACCGCGGAAGGGGAGCGGGGGGUCCGGGCGCAGCGGUGCCGGGGGGCACGCGUGGGCACGGCUCCGCGGCCCGGAGGGGCCGUCCGCCGCGUCCGGACCCACAGCCGGCUGCUGGGACCGCAGCCCCGCACGUCGCAGCGGCAGCUGUCGGGAACGCUGAUUGCGCGAGCAGGCACAGCACAGCAGCGCUGGCACUCCCCAAGACAGUCCGUCUCUCCCACUACAUGUUCAAGGAAAGCAGAAAACCCAGCUCAUGGUCCGCAGCAAUAAAGGGAAUGAUGUGAACCGCCUCUCAUCCCUCCAAGCCUUCCACCGUGAGUAGCCUGCAACAAAUACAGACAGUGCUUAUGCUUUAAAGUAAUGAUGAAACCGAAGUAUUUGUAGCUAUUUCCUUUGGGCAACUGGAAAUAAGAACCAGCACUCCAUCUCAGGCUUGUUCCCUGCGGAGUGCAGCACGAAGACAAUCCGGGAACAGGAAGGCUUUCUCUGGGACAGCCUCCUGCAGCCGUCCUCUUGCAAGGACCGUCUCCUUGGGAGGGAGGGCUCUUCUUUUGUUGAUGAAAUGUAGCAGCAGCUCUUGUGGACGGUGCCAAGCAUUCUGAGCUGCAGUUCAUACUGUCUCACCAGCUGGAUGAUUCACUGCUGGAGGAGAGACCAAGGACUUCACCUGAGCUCAGGAGACAGAUGUUACUACUUCACAUUAAUUAGAAAGAAAGGGGGGAAAAAAAAAAAAAAAAGAAGAAGUAAAAGCAAGCUAAACCCAGAAUGAACUUGAGCUGCAUCUUUUCAGAGAGACGGAAUAUGCAGAAUGAGGGAAUCACAAAGCAGGUUAGGCAUACUUCACUUUUUACUGUCUGGGAGGAGUGUGUUCUCAGAGGAAACCCUGUCUCUGUUACAGGUAGAUCCAGUCCCACAGCUGCCUGGUUUUGUUGCUCUCGGAGGGUGCUGCAAUUGGCUCUGAUGGUCGCAGUUUCCACCUUUGUGUCUUAACUAAUCUUUUAGCCAUGCUGGGUCAUGCUAUCAAACGCCUUGAAGAUCAGAAGUGACGCUGUGGUUUGGCCUCCUGGCCCAAGAGGCAGAGGGUGGGUUUGAUGCCUUUGUGGUGGUCAGGGCUCCCACUGCAGUGCGCUUGUCCAGCUGGCAUUUGCCAAGUGCUGUGGGCUUCAUGCCCAGGUGUAUCACAUAGCUGUAGCCUCGCCAAGAGGUGACAAAGAUAUGACUAACUGAGGUUAGGUUGCUCCUGCCAAAAGGCAUGGCUGCUUGUGGCCAAACAGAGAACAUGGAAAACACUGGGAGUUUCACGUCACUGGGGAGUGCUCCUAAGACAUGGGCUAUGUAGAACAGCCGGGAAGAUGUUUCAGCUCAAGAAGGCUGCUCUGCAGCUUCAGUACUGUGUUCUGUAUGAUUGCCAGAGAAGGGUUUGAUUGUUCUUGAGUGUCUCAGUUCAGCUCUGCUGCUCCAGCUGUAGGUCCUGGCCUGAGAGCACAUUGUACCGGAUGCAGAACAUCAGUUUCCAUUUGGAGAGCCUUCAGCUGGCUGUGAGCUGGUCCCUACCUGAGCUUCCUCUGGAAAGGGGCAGCUGCUGGGAAUGACUGUGACAUUUGUUUUGGAUGCUCAUCUCUGAGGAGAGUGUCUGCAAGCAGUUCCUAGCCAUGGUGACUGCUUCUGCCUUCUGAGUCAAACCCCUUCCUGAUGAGACUUCAGGAAUCUGAAGGAUUUGCAUGUGUUUUGCAGUUCUGAUCUUGAGUUUCACUGUCCUGUGCUGUGUGUAAGAACAGUGCCUUGGGAAUAAAGCAACAUGGGCCUUUCCCAUCUCUUGAUCCUUUGCCUGCACCCCCUCAGUGCAGGGUGGUGCUGGACUACCCAAGGGCUGGAUGACACAGUGCUUGGUGCGUGCAUGUGAACUUGCUGCUCCCAGACAGCAUGGGGCUGUGCUGUAUUGUUUUCUCUCCAGACAAUGCAGCACUGGAUUGUAAGUAAAAAUGCAGAGCACACUGCAAUGUUUGCUCUUUAUUAAUGCACUAAGAUGCAUUUGGGUGAAGCAGAAGGCUCCUGGCUGGCUUGGUUUCAAGCUCCGUGACAGGCUUCCAUAAACACUUUGCAGCUCUCUGGGCAGGGGCAGAAGGCACGGAGAGGCUGCAGCCCCUUCACUGGCAGGGGAGGUAGGCUUGGCUGGGAGGGGUUUGGCCUUUGCCACAGACAGCCCCUUUGUUGAGAGGGGAGCUGGUGAGCAAGUGAGCGAUCCUGGGAGCUUCCCAAUGGCCGGUGGGCACUACAGGGCACUUCAGCUGCAGCUGCUGCUGCUGCGGGGCAGGAGGAAAGGAGAGUGCAUGAGCAGAGACACCCUGCUCUGCCAGCCUUUGCUUGCUGGCCUGGUAGCUUUUGUAGUCUCUCUGCACUGGGUAUCUGGCCACCUGUUUUUUAGCUGAGCAACUUGAGCUAAAAGCUGCCGGCUAUGACACAGUACCUCUGUUGCCAGAACACGCAGUUUCUUGUUCCACUUUUGAGGAAUGUAUGUGGCCGCUUACAGCAAUUACAGCUUAACCUUCCAGCUCUGAACUCUGCCUAGUAUCAGGGAAAUACCAGCUGGAGCAAAUAUCUUGACCUCUGGAUGACACAGCUGGGAGAUAACUGCGGUCUCAGCCUCAGAUGCUCUGAUUCUUGGUCACGCAGCACUUGGGCAGGCCCUCCUGCAGGCCGAGAAGGAUGGGGUGUCCAUCCCCAGAGCAUCCCUGCCAACACGGGCCGUGCUCUGAGGAGGGAGGUGACAGCGUCAGGCUGUAUGUUAUGGUGGAGAUAGGGCCCACCUCACGGCUGGGUUGGGCUGGUUCUUGUUGCACGUUUAGGUUUUUGUCUAAGGCACUUCACUGCUUUAGCCAAGCUGCAGCGGAUGAAGUUGUAAGUCUGACAGCGGACGAGUGCGGUUUGACCCUUCUGCUCUCUUUCACCUUCAGUUUGCGCUUUCCUACACGUACAGCAUUAAGGUUUGG
rnacentral:lncRNA from 1 species